CUUGACUGCAGACCACCAGGGAAUUAUACCCAUUUUAAAGACAAGUAAACUGAGACACAGAGAGGUUAGGCCACUUUCCACUCAUCCAACUCCUAUUUAUAGUUUCUUUGUGGCAUUUUGACUCUAAGUCUAGCGAGGUCUUUUUUUCUAGCAUGGUAUUGUCUCCGUUGCAGCAAGUGCUUCCCUUCUUAUGAUGGAUUGUCCAUCGGAGUCUAAGAAGCAAGGGUGCAGCCUCCUUAAACUGGCGAGAACAAGGAGAGUAGGAAGUCGGAGUGAAUCAUAGCUUCUCCAGGAAACAGUCUAUUUCUCCGCUUUAAGAAGAGACCUAGCAACCGAUUGCACAGUUAAUGAGAACAACGCCACAGAAGUUCCAAGAAGGAAAUAAGCAUAAGAAACCUAAUCAACUUACAAUUGAUCAUAAUGAUGCCAUUCAGAGCAAAGAAAGACUCAUCACUUCAACAUUCUCUAAUGCCCUUCAUUUUAUUAACUGCUGAUUUGAUCUAGCAUCUCUGGAAUGGCCAUCUUUACAUUUAUAGACAGGAUGCCAUCCUCUCUAGCUUAUCAGAAUAGUCUUCUCCCAGAUUUGCUUAUUUUCUCUUCCAGAACUUGAAGGGGAAAGUGGUGCUUAGUCCUCUCCAAAUUGUUACUGUGUACUUAGACCAAACAGAAACUCUGGGUCCACUUGUUAUUUCCACAAAUAUCUGAGUUUGCUCACUCUGUUUAGCAUCCUUCUACACUCAGUUCUAUAAAAUAAACCAGCUUUCAUGACAACAGGAGAUGGAAGAGUGAUGGGCCACAUAGAAUGGUUAUUUACCUAAUCUUUCUAAGUGUCUGUUUAUUUGGCUGUAUUUCAGGAAUAUUCACUCCACCUGCAGGGCUGUCACAAGGCGUGAGCAAGAUAAUAAACAUAAUUCACCAGAUACUGUGGCUAAAUUAGGUCCUCAGUUGAUGAUCUGAUGAAUUCCAGUACUUAAAAUGUUUGCCAUAGAUACCGCAAUGGAAUGGGUCUUGUUGGUGGUGUGUUCGUUGGUGGGGAGAAGAUUGCUAAGUAUAGAACAGAGUACAUUCUUAGCAUUUGCAUCUGCUUAAAGGAAUUAGUUAAUCACUCAGGAAUCUCUUACAAUUUCAAAAUGGCCUGUCCAAGGCUUUCUCGUCCAUCGUGGGAUAUGGAGAGCUGGAAUGAACAUGGUUCUGGGGAGACCAGGAGGCCUGGCCCAAUGCGAGUCACCAGGAGCUGACGUCGCCCCACCUUCCAGAGCAGGACCUGAGGUGUUCUCAGGAAGAAGUUCACUGAAAGGAUGAAGUAUAUCCUAUAAAAUGUAUCCUCUAAGAUGACACAACAAAAGGAUCCUAGGAGGUUGCACGUCUCCUGAAGUGUGUCCUGGCUGGUCCGUUUUCAUUCAACGGGAGGAGGCUAUGAGGCAUGAUGGCAGCCGUUCGCUGUCAUUUGUGCACGUCAGGCAAAGACCCCAACCUCCACUGCACGUGCCUGGAGUAAAACUCUGAUGAGCUGGGCUGAGUUCUGAGGAGGGAAACCCUAGUGCCUUCGUGUGAUGAGAAUGGAGCAGUAGCAGCAACACUGGAUAACUCUCAGACUCUUCAGGGCAAAGCGAGUUGUGUACCCCGUCCCUGGAGGCAGCUUGGAGAAAAGGCAGGUAUCCAAACAUUAGAGAACGAACAAGUUGUCUUUUGAGUGCUGGGUCUUACUGUUUACUUGUCAUGAAAGAAAUGAGUUAAAUUUUCCGUCUUGUUUACAAUUGGGAUAAUGCUAUCUUUAUUACCAGGUUGUUGCAAUAGCCUAUGUAAAAAGUCUGGCACAGAAAAGAUUGCAAAGAUGACUAUGACUUGGAGAAGCUGCUGUGUGGAAAUUUGUUUUCUAAGUAUGAAAAAACAAAAAUAAAGGGAGAAGGAAGAUAAAUGUUUGUGGAGGGUGGAUGGCAUCCGUUUUUUCUUUCCUUCCACCGUUUUUAUAAAUGGAGACAAUUUACACCAUCCAGUUAUUUGCUUUAAAGCUGUUGCUUAGCAGUUACUGAGCUUAAAAAAUAGUGCUUCCCUAAUGGCUGAACAGUCAAUACUCUGUUCUGGGAUCUUGCUAGCUGAGUAUAGUUCAGGAAGAUGAGUGUGGACCGGGAAAGUCCAUCAUGACAAUGUAAUCAGCAUUCUUUGCCCGGUAGAAUAUUGGAGGGAUUCGUAUGUGACAGGUCUUUAAACUUUCUUGUGAGGUUCUGGAACACUGUUAAUGAUAGCUGAGUGUGGCAGUUAGUAUCUGCUAAUGUAAGGCGUGUCCUACCCAGACCCCCUACAGCAACCACCCUUACCCUCUGAAGGCUGCUGAUUGGGAACGACUGUGGCUUGUUUCUAGCCAAGGGCAGGGCCAGCUGGAAGUCUCAGUGAGUGAAUGCCCUGGGAAGAAGUCCUCAGUCAAUGAUGGGCAUGGGAUUUAUGCAUUAUACCCCUUGGGUAAUUCUGAGUUGUUUUUUAUGCUGUCUCAUAGAAUGCCCUAGAAGACUCGCACUUCAAUUACCCCCAGGGUUAACUGACUCCUAUAUCUUCUGUCGAGUGUCAUCCUUUCCCAGCCUCUUCCCCACUCCUCUCCCAGUGGUUCCUCAUAUCAUCUCCCACAUAAACUAAGGCUCAUCUCGGAUCUGCCCCCAGGUGGACACACUCCAAGGUGCAUUUUAGCUUCUUUCAGGUGAUUGCACUGAUGAAGUUUGUAGCGUAAGGCCCAGAAACAAAAUUUUUUACUAAGUAGAGCAAGUCCCUCGGACUUGAAGUGACUGAAGGGAUGGGAUACAAGUCUUCUAGCAAGUCUGGGUGGUGGCACUGCUCACAGCUGGCACCCAGUCAAGAAUGGGGAGCACAGCACAGCUUUUAUUGGAAGUAAAAAGCUAGGGACUAAAACAUGGGACUUGGAAGGGAGAAGCAACCAUUAUCCAGAUGACAUAUAAAGGGUACUGUUACUGAAAGUGGGGUCUGGCUGUUCCUCACUCUACAGAUGAACAGGAAAGGAAAGUUGGCUUUAUUUUGAAUGCCGGCAACUGAGGGGGAGGGCGGACUCCUGCCAAAAAGGCUGACUCCCCUCCUGUCCGUGGGCAAGAGUUUUACAGGCAGGCGGAGGAGGGUAAAUUCCAAACCAGCAAAUCAGCUCUGACAAUCAUCUUGAAAUUGGUCACAUGGUGGUCUGACCAACAUCGUCUUGAUGUUUUAAGUAUAGUGAAUUUUCAGUUCCAGGGUCAUUUUGUUCUCAUUUCCUUGAAGCCAGUUCUUAGAAUUGUGGCAGCUGAUGUCAUGCCUACAGUCUGGUCAUCAUGUAGUCAACUCCUUCCACCUGGUAGGGGUUUUCGUCUCCAUAAGGCAGCUCAGAAUAUUAUCUAUAGCCCUUCAGAAGAGGCACAAAGUCCGUGAGUUUGCUUAAUGGCUGAACUAAUAUUAUUUGGUCUCAUUUACCUGUUUUCCUUUGUUCCUGCAUUUUCUCACUUCUCUGAUUAAACCUAUCCUUUGAUGAAAGCUUUUCUUCCAACAAAAGGCAGAUGGAGGACAAGGAGAGGAAGGACCACAAGGUCCUGCUUCUCUUCAGUACUCUCUCCUUUUCCGAGAGCGCUAGGCUGGGCACCAGGGUUUAUCGGAAGGGCUGGGUGGGAUCUUGGGGUAACAGACAAGUCAUGAGAGGUAGAGCCGUGUGUCUACAUGGCCUGGGCUCCUCGCCAGCUAUAAGUGUAGACGGUAGGUUGCAUUACUCAAGCCUGACCCUAAGCCUUUUUGUGCGCAUUUCUUCAUUUAAUUCUACCAAAGACAGUGAAGUAGAUAUAGUACCCUUCAUUUUAUACGUGAAAAAAAAAGCCCUGAAGUUUUAAGAAUUUAAAUUACUUUCUCAAGGUCAUCUUCCUGGAAAGGGUAGAGGAACAUGACUGACACCCAGUUCUGAUUGGCUCCAUAGUUCCUGCACCUUUUGGUGAAAAUACAAAGUAAGCAGAAUCUCCUGGACGUAACCUGUGUGGGUGCCAUUUCUCAAAAGGAUUGGCCAUAAAGUGAUCUGGGGAUCCCAGCUAUUACACUACCUUUUACUGUCAGAUCUAUGUCUGUGUAGAGGAUUCGCAGGACUGGCUAAAGAAUUAAAGCACAAGUUUGAUCACAAAAGGGAUGAUUUUUGAGGUGCCAAAAGCCAGAGAAGGUGUAGGAAGCUGAUGUACCAUUAACAGUUAUGCAUACAUUGCUUCUUGCUACUCAGAUAUUAGAGGCAUUGGCCAAAUUUAUGCAAGAUUCCAUUGAUGGGGAAUACAUUACGGUUAUUUUGUUCCAAAAAUUUACUUUUAUUGUGA